UACGGGGGGAGCAAGCGUUGUUCGGAUUUACUGGGCGUAAAGGGCUCGUAGGCGGUUCGUCACGUCGGGAGUGAAAACUCGGGGCUUAACCCCGAGCCUGCUUCCGAUACGGGCAGACUAGAGGUAGGCAGGGGAGAGCGGAACUCCUGGUGUAGCGGUGGAAUGCGCAGAUAUCAGGAAGAACACCGGUGGCGAAGGCGGCUCUCUGGGCCUUACCUGACGCUGAGGAGCGAAAGCGUGGGUAGCGAACAGG
rnacentral:rRNA from 1 species